GAUGAACGCUGGCGGCGUGCUUAACACAUGCAAGUCGAACGAUCAAGCAGAGAAACUCGUACUUUGGUUCUAAUUUCACUUCGGUUUAGUACCAGACGAGUGAGUACCUCUUAAGCAACCUACCCCUUACAAAGGGGUAGCUUCGGCCAACCGAUAUUAUUACCCUAUGACACCUUCAUAAGGCAUCUUACUUAUGUUAACGCUAGGGCGGAUCGGCAUGGGCUCGCGUCCCAUUAGAUAGUUGGGGAGGUAACGGCACACCAACGCGACGAUGGGUAACCGGCCUGAGAGAGUGAGCGCUCACAUUGGAGCUGGGACACGGUCCAAACUCCUACGGGAGGCAGCAGUGGGUAAUAUUGCAACAUGGAGGGAACUAUGAUGCAGCGACGAUGCGUGAACGAUGAAGUAAUUGGUUACGUAAAGCUCUGUUCUAUGGGAAGAAAAGGACGGUACCAUAGGAGAAAGCCCCGGCUAACUACGUG
rnacentral:rRNA from 1 species